AUUGAACGCUGGCGGCAGGCCUAACACAUGCAAGUCGAGCGGAUGAAGGGAGCUUGCUCCUGGAUUCAGCGGCGGACGGGUGAGUAAUGCCUAGGAAUCUGCCUGGUAGUGGGGGAUAACGUCCGGAAACGGGCGCUAAUACCGCAUACGUCCUGAGGGAGAAAGUGGGGGAUCUUCGGACCUCACGCUAUCAGAUGAGCCUAGGUCGGAUUAGCUAGUUGGUGGGGUAAAGGCCUACCAAGGCGACGAUCCGUAACUGGUCUGAGAGGAUGAUCAGUCACACUGGAACUGAGGCACGGUCCAGACUCCUACGGGAGGCAGCAGUGGGGAAUAUUGGACAAAGGGCGAAAGCCUGAUCCAGCCAUGCCGCGUGUGUGAAGAAGGUCUUCGGAUUGUAGAGCACUUUAAGUUGGGAGGAAGGGCAGUAAGUUAAUACCUUGCUGUUUUGACGUUACCAACAGAAUAAGCGCCGGCUAACUUCGUG
rnacentral:rRNA from 1 species